rnacentral:rRNA from 1 species
UGCCGGACCAGCCUUUGUGGGCUUCAAUCAACAGGCCCAGGCGACUGUUUAUCAAAAACACAGGUCUCUGCAAAACCGAAAGGUGAAGUAUAGGGGCUGACGCCUGCCCAGUGCCGGAAGGUUAAGAGGAUUUGUUCGAACACUUCGGUGUUCAAAGCUCAGAAUCGAAGCCCCGGUGAACGGCGGCCGUAACUAUAACGGUCCUAAGGUAGCGAAAUUCCUUGUCGGGUAAGUUCCGACCUGCACGAAUGGCGUAACGACCUGGGCGUUGUCUCAACGAGGGGCUCGGUGAAAUUGCAAGGCCCGUGAAGAUGCGGGCUACCCGCGACAGGACAAAAAGACCCCGUGGAGCUUUACUGUAACCUGGUAUUGGUCUGGGAACUGUCAUGUGUAGGAUAGGUGGGAGACUUUGAAGUUGCGACGCCAGUCGUGAUGGAGUCGCCCUUGAAAUACCACCCUUGGCUGUUUUUGGUUCUAACCUCAGCAAAACUGAGGGACAGUGCCUGGCGGGCAGUUUAACUGGGGCGGUUGCCUCCGAAAAGGUAACGGAGGCGUCCAAAGGUUCCCUCAGGACGGAUGGAAAUCGUCCUUAGAACGCAUUGGCAUAAGGGAGCUUGACUGCAAGACCUACAAGUCGAGCAGGGACGAAAGUCGGGCAAAGUGAUCCUACGGCACCGUGUGGAAGGGCCGUGGCUUAUCGGAUAAAAGCUACCCCGGGGAUAACAGGCUUAUCUCGCCCAAGAGUUCACAUCGACGGCGAGGUUUGGCACCUCGAUGUCGGCUCGUCCCAUCCUGGGGCUGAAGGCGGUCCCAAGGGUCCGGCUGUUCGCCGGUUAAAGGGGUACGUGAGUUGGGUUCAGAACGUCGUGAGACAGUUCGGUCUCUAUCCGCCGUGGGCGCAGGAGGCUUGAGGGAACCUCUCCCUAGUACGAGAGGACCGGGAGGGACAGACCUAUGGUGUGCCAGUUGUUCCGCCAGGAGCAGCGCUGGGUAGCCAUGUCUAGUAUUGAUAAGCGCUGAAGGCAUCUAAGCGCGAAGCUGCCCCCAAGAUGAGGCCUCCCUUCCCUAUUAAGUUAGGGAGUAAGACUGCAGAGAGACUAUCUGCUUGAUAGGCCGGAUGUGUAAGGAUAGUAAUAUCUUCAGCAUACCGGUACUAACCGGUCGAGAGUCUUGGCCC